rnacentral:rRNA from 1 species
GAAUUUUGGACAAUGGGCGCAAGCCUGAUCCAGCAAUGCCGCGUGCAGGAAGAAGGCCUUCGGGUUGUAAACUGCUUUUGUCAGGGAAGAAAUCCUCUGGGUUAAUACCUCGGGGGGAUGACGGUACCUGAAGAAUAAGCACCGGCUAACUACGUGCCAGCAGCCGCGGUAAUACGUAGGGUGCGAGCGUUAAUCGGAAUUACUGGGCGUAAAGCGUGCGCAGGCGGUUGUGCAAGACAGAUGUGAAAUCCCCGGGCUUAACCUGGGAACUGCAUUUGUGACUGCACGGCUAGAGUACGGUAGAGGGGGAUGGAAUUCCGCGUGUAGCAGUGAAAUGCGUAGAUAUGCGGAGGAACACCGAUGGCGAAGGCAAUCCCCUGGACCUGUACUGACGCUCAUGCACGAAAGCGUGGGGAGCAAACAGG